GGAAGUUUGAGGCAAUAACAGGUCUGUGAUGCCCUUAGAUGUCCUGGGCCGCACGCGCGCUACACUGACACAUGCAACAAGUUUAUUUUUCCUGGCUCGGAAGGGUUCGGGUAAUCUUGUAUAAUGUGUGUCGUGCUAGGGAUAGAUCUUUGGAAUUAUAGAUCUUGAACAAGGAAUUCCUAGUAAGCAUAAGUCAUCAGCUUGUGCUGAUUACGUCCCUGCCCUUUGUACACACCGCCCGUCGCUCCUACCGAUUUUGAGUGAUCCGGUGAACCUUCUGGACUGUGUUUAGGCUUGACCUAGACGUGGGAAGUUAAGUAAACCUUAUCACUUAGAGGAAGGAGAAGUCGUAACAAGGUUUCCGUAGGUGAACCUGCAGAAGGAUCAA
rnacentral:rRNA from 1 species